UUCCGGUUGAUCCUGCCGGAGGUUACUGCUAUCGAGGUUCGACUAAGCCAUGCGAGUCGAAUGUAGCAAUACAUGGCGAACUGCUCAGUAACACGUGGACAACCUGCCCUUAGGACGGGGAUAAACCCGGGAAACUGGGUAUAAUACCCGAUAGGUCUCGAUUGCUGGAAUGCAUCGAGAUUUAAAGCUCCGGCGCCUAAGGAUGGGUCUGCGGCCUAUCAGGUAGUAGUGGGUGUAGCGUACCUACUAGCCUACGACGGGUACGGGUUGUGAGAGCAAGAGCCCGGAGAUGGAUUCUGAGACACGAAUCCAGGCCCUACGGGGUGCAGCAGGCGCGAAAACUUUACAAUGCUGGCAACAGCGAUAAGGGAACCUCGAGUGCCAGGUUACAAAUCUGGCUGUCGAGAUGCCUAAAAAGCAUUUCAUAGCAAGGGCCGGGCAAGACCGGUGCCAGCCGCCGCGGUAACACCGGCGGCUCGAGUGGUAACCGUUAUUAUUGGGUCUAAAGGGUCUGUAGCCGGCCGGAUAAGUCUCUUGAGAAAUCUGGCAGCUUAACUGUCAGGCUUUCAGGAGAUACUGUCUGGCUCGAGGCCGGGAGAGGUGAGAGGUACUUCAGGGGUAGGGGUGAAAUCUUGUAAUCCUUGAAGGACCACCAGUGGCGAAGGCGUCUCACCAGAACGGACCUGACGGCAAGGGACGAAAGCUAGGGGCACGAACCGGAUUAGAUACCCGGGUAGUCCUAGCCGUAAACGAUACUCGCUAGGUGUCGGCCACGGUGCGACCGUUGUCGGUGCCGUAGGGAAGCCGUGAAGCGAGCCACCUGGGAAGUACGGCCGCAAGGCUGAAACUUAAAGGAAUUGGCGGGGGAGCACCACAACGG
rnacentral:rRNA from 4 species